rnacentral:rRNA from 1 species
UAGGGAAUCUUCCACAAUGGAGCAAGUCUGAUGGAGCAACGCCGCGUGAGUGAAGAAGGUCUUCGGAUCGUAAACUCUGUUGUUAGAGAAGAACACGAGUGAGAGUAACUGUUCAUUCGAUGACGGUAUCUAACCAGCAAGUCACGGCUAACUACGUGCCAG